rnacentral:lncRNA from 1 species
GGCCAGGCUGCCUCUCUGGAAUCCUGAGGUCCAUCAUGACAGGUUCUCUAGAUGAGGACUGAGCUGCACUGAGGAGUAGAGAAGUAGCCUGCAGCCUGAAGAAUGACAGCUGGCAGCCUAUGCUCAGAAAGGCAAGGAGACACUGAUGCAAUUCUUCAUCCAAGCAGUAAAAAAUGACUCUCAGUCUUUUCUCCCUUGAUGGGAAAUAAAAAGAUGAAGCCAACCUGUCUUCUAGAGACACACAAUCGAGGGAACACCUCAGGUGAGCUGUCCCCACAGCAUGGCCACUGACAAGUUGUGUAGGUCCACACCUGGGAACUGAAUCCCAGACUCAGAAGUGGGGAGUGCCAAACUUAACCACUAGGCCAGCGAGUUGGCCAAAUGAUUAUUCUUUAAAUAUUUCCAUUUAUCUUAAUUCUUUCAAAAGUGAAAAAAAUGGUGUCAAUAAACAUUAAAAGUUUCAAUAUUUUUGUUUACAGAAAUUUCUUUAUGAUAUAAAAAUGUUCAUUAAAAGUAAGCACAAAGUCAAUAGGAG